rnacentral:rRNA from 1 species
UACGUAGGGGGCUAGCGUUGUCCGGAUUUAUUGGGCGUAAAGCGCGCGCAGGUGGUUUCUUAAGUCUGAUGUGAAAGCCCACGGCUCAACCGUGGAGGGUCAUUGGAAACUGGGGAACUUGAGUGCAGGAGAGAAGAGUGGAAUUCCACGUGUAGCGGUGAAAUGCGUAGAGAUGUGGAGGAACACCAGUGGCGAAGGCGACUCUUUGGCCUGUAACUGACACUGGGGCGCGAAAGCGUGGGGAGCAAACAGGG